UACGGGGGGGGCAAGCGUUGUUCGGAAUUACUGGGCGUAAAGGGUUCGUAGGUGGCCGGCUAAGUCAGACGUGAAAUCCCUCAGCUUAACUGGGGAACUGCGUCUGAGACUGGUCGGCUUGAGUGCAGGAGAGGAACGCGGAAUUCCAGGUGUAGCGGUGAAAUGCGUAGAUAUCUGGAGGAACACCGGUGGCGAAGGCGGCGUUCUGGACUGCAACUGACACUGAGGAACGAAAGCCAGGGGAGCAAACGGG
rnacentral:rRNA from 1 species